rnacentral:lncRNA from 1 species
UUUAGUCGUGCUUGGUUUGACUUCUCCCUUUUUAAGGCUGCAACUGUUACUCUUUUACCCUGAUGGGUGGUGAGUGUGACCGUUUAGUUGAAGCAGUUAAUAAAUCCCUUCUUGGUAUUUAGUCGGUCCAUUCCCCGAAUGACAUCCAAGUUGUUGCUUUCGAUCACAGUGAGAUUUGCCCAAAAUGUCAAGUCUUCGAUCUCAAUAGUAACAUCCUUGCAAUAUUUUUGUGUAAUCUCUUGUACUC